GUUGUCGUUGCCAGCGUGACACUGUGCUCACUGGUCGCAGCAGCUUGUUACAAAUCAGUUUAUACUGCUAUCUAGAGCCAUAUGUGGGACUGAUGAAAACCGCUCUGGCUAUAAACACACUGGAUACUUGGUCUAACAAGAUGUUAGUUGUAAGUGGAAUGGAUGUUUGUGAACCCUGAAUAACAACUCUACUGUGCCACACCAUCUGGCUGAUCCCUCAAGCGCUUUGUCCUCCGUGGAGUGUACUCCUCUCCUCUCUUCACCUGACUGACCGGCAAAAGUAGAAAAUGAAAGAAAUAAUCAUUGAAAAGGAAUGCAGUGCUCUAGAGCUUAUGGAAUCAAUAGGGGCCUAAACCUCAAGUAAACCUCUUGAAAACUUCAAAAAAACACAGCAUAGAUACUGCAUAAAACUAUAAAGACUGACAUUUGGAAUGGAUUGGUAAAAAGAGAACAGGCUUAUUUCAAAGUCUGGAGGCACACCUGAAUAAUUUUGCGGUUCUGUAAUCUUCAAGUAUUAUUUUCAAGUUCAAUGCUGCAUGUUAUACAACACUGGUUUAAAGGCAUCUCAGCGUCAUUCCUCCAUCAAGCUAACCAUUCACUCAAACAUCCACACAUUUCUCUACACAUCUAUCAUGCUUCAAUUCAACCAUCUAUCCAUCUAUCAUCCUAUCAUCCAUUCAUGGCCUUUUCCUUUGGUAUGUGCACAUAUCAGAUGAAUGUGUAUUUGUUCUGGGGCCAGGGGCAACACCAGACUAAUGACUGCUACAGCAGGUGUCUUUGUGAAGCUAACGCAUUACAUCUGCAUGGUAUAACUAGCGACAGAUGAGGCUGAAACCACGGGACGUGGCAGGACUCAACAUGAGGCUGUUGUGGCAUUGUUUCAUAUUCAAAUCAUAUUCUUUCCCCUGUUUUUUUCUGCAGACUUGAAGGACCUUUUUUAAUUGAAUGGGUUCUACUCCCUUUGUUGUGGCGUUGGAGACAGGCAGAUUCCCAUGCACUGCUAGAACCAUCAUUUAUUACAGUCUCUCUCAAAGCCAGCCCACCGUCUGCAUUGAAACAACCAUGUCGAUAAGACACAUACUCACACACACACACACACACACACACACACACACACACACACACACACACACACACACUCAGCUCAAAGACCUGAUACACUACAUGACCAAAAGUACACUACGUGGCCAACAGUAUGUGGACGACUGCUCGUUGAACAUCUCAUUCUAAAAUCAUGGGCAUUCAUAUGGAGUUGGUCCCCCCUUUGCUGCAAUAACAGCCUCCACUCUUCUGGGAAGGCUUUCCACUAGAUGUUGGAACAUUGCUUCCAGUCAGCCACGAGAGUAUUAGUGAGGUCGGGCACUGAUGUUGUGCGAUUAUGCCUGGCUCGCUGUCAGAGUUCCAAUUCAUCCCAAAGGUGUUCGAUGGGGUUGAGAUCAGGGCUCUGUGCAGGCCAGUCAAGUUCUUCCACAUCGAUAUCGACAAACCAUUUCUGUAUGGACCUCGCUCUGUGCACAGAGGCAUUGCCGUGCUGAAAGAGAAAAGGGCCUUCCCAAAACUGUUGCCACAAAGUUGGAGGCACAGAAUCAUCUAGAAUGUCUUUGUAUGAUGUAGCAUUAAGAUUUCCCUUCACUGGAACUAAGGGGCCUAGACCGAACCAUGAAAAACAUCCCCAGACCAUUAUUCCUCCUUCCACCAAACUUUACAGUUGGUCCCGUUCUGUGAGCUUGUGUGGCCUACCAUUUUUCGGCUGAGUCAUUGUUGCUUCUAGACGUUUCCACUUCACAGCACUUACAGUUGACCGGGACAGCUCUCGCAGGGCAGAAAUUUCACGAACUGGAAAGGUGGCAUCCUAUGACGGUGCCACAUUGAAAGUCACUGAGCUCUUCAGUAAGGCCACUCUACUGCCAAAGUUUGUCUAUGGAGAUUGCAUGGAUGUGUGCUCGAUUUUAUACACCUGUCAUCAACGGGUGUGGCUGAAAUAGCCAAAUUCACUAAUUUGAAGGGGUGUCAACAAACUUUUGUAUAUAGUG